UGUCAAGAUUUUUUUUUUUUUUUUUUUCUCAAUUCUUGUACUAAAAACGAUAUUGUUUUGUUAUGCACUUAUUCUUAUACAUAUAAUAUACACAUAUUUAAAUAUGUAUAUAUAUAUGUAUGUAUAUGUAUUUAUAUGUAUGUAUAUGUAUUUAUAUGUAUGUAUAUGUAUUUAUAUGUAUGUAUAUGUAUGUAUAUAUAUGUAUAUGAUUGGUAAAAAAAAAAAAAAAAAAAAAAGGAUCUUUUUUUUUCUUAUAACUUAUUAAAAAAAAAAAAAAAAAAAUAAAAUAGUCAGUAAACAAAGAAUAAAUAUUUAAGAAAUGAUUAUCAAAUAGAUAAAAAUAAAUAAAUAAAUAAAUAAACAAAUAAAUAAAUAAGUAAACUGAAACAAUGAUUUUGAACACUUCAACGGAUUUUGUGAUUAUUCAUGUAUUUGUUAAAGCGAUAUGAAUAAAAUAAAUUCUACGUUAAAUCAUAUGCAGUUAGUUAAUGAAAAUCUGAAAAAAUUAUUCUUAACACAACAAGAUUUUAAUGAUCAUGAUUCUUAUCUGUUGUUCCGAGGCAAAGUAUCAAAAAGAAUUGUCUAUUAUGCAUCUUUAAUUUCACAAUGUAAUAAUAACAUAUCUGUUUGUGAAAAUGCAGAUGAAAGUGUAGAUGAAUAUGUUAAGGAAAAACUUGAAUACCAUAUAAAAACUCUUAGAAACUAUAAAAGGGAACUAAGUAAAUGGUGGAUGGAACAUAAAAAGAAUUAUUAUCGUUUAUGUGUACAUAAUAUUUUAGAUAAAAAAAAAUGUGAGAGCCAUGAUACUAUAAAAACAAGUGGCACAGAUGUAAAUGACUUACAUUUAAAAGACACGAAAAAUAUGAUGAUAAAUGAAAUUAACAGAAUGAAAAAUGCAAAAUCACAAUUAUUAGAAUCUUCUCACAUAUUAAAAAAACAAGACAAAAUAUUUACUAUGUUCGAGUCAAGGUUAAAAUCAAGUGCACAACUUAUAUUAUCUAUAAGAAAAAAAGCAGAAAAAGACUCGAAAUAUGUUUGGUACUCUUUUUUUUUCUUUCUUAUUAAACUUUUAUUUUUCGCCAUAUUCUAUUUAUUAAAAUUUUGUAUCCGAGUGUUUUAUUUAUUUAAAACGAAAAAUAAAGAAAAUGAUUUUAGUACAAGCGCGGAUAUUUCGAAAAGUGUCACGUCAUAAUCGUUUAAGUAACUAGUGAAUUUUGAAAAAAAAAAACAGACAUAAACAAACGUAAACAAACGAAAGCAAACAAAAACAAA
rnacentral:lncRNA from 1 species